AGGGGACUGAUUGAAACAUUUUGCUUCAGUGGUGACUGUGGUUGCGUGAAGCUUGAAAGUUCAAGGAUAAUUUCUCUGCUCAUUAAAACUUCCGCGAAUGAAGGACUUCAACAAAGAUAGUUGUCACAAAUCUUAUAGCAAAGAGUGCUCCCAUUAGCUCUUAAAAUGUCCUAAGCAGUAUCUGUUCAUCUUAACAGGUUUUGCUUUCUCCUUUUUUUAGUGGUUACUUAUAAUGAUCUGCUUCUCCAUUCUUCCAAUUAGGAAACGUGUGCCAAACUGACUUUUUACCAUUUCCUGUGUUUCAGAUUCAUGUUUGAAACACUAGCAUGUUACUUGUGUUGGAUGUGUUUAAGUGUCAUCAUUGGCAAGGGAAAUUGCACUCCGUAAACUCAUUUGCAUUUGGCUGAAUCUGGAUUGGAGAUAUUACUUCCCUGUAUGUGGAGAUCCCGGAAAAGGGUCACGAGUGAUUGUCAAUUGAGCUUUUCGCGUAUGCUGAAAUGAGAGUCCAAUGGUCCAGUCGGAACACCCAGCCCACAGCUCCUGAAAUUCUAAACUGAAUUAACCUGGCAGUGUUGAAUAGCAUUCAAAGUAGAAAGAGCAACUUAUGCCAGUUACUUUGCUACAUUUCUCUACCAUGGUUGUAUUUUGUGUAUAGAGCAACUUGUGUCUUGCAUUUUUAUUUUAUUGUUUUGAUGUCAGAAAUACUUUCAGCAAGACAAUAUUACAUGGUGUUAGGGUUACAACGUAACUUGUUAUCCAAAUCGACAAAUAAAAUAAUUUUUAUAAUA